CUGGUGCUGAUGGUCGGGGACUAAAUGCUUUCAAUCACCCUUUCUCUUCUAGUAAAUAUAUAGUUAAGUAGGUAACAGACACAUUAUUGUCACUGGGAUGCUUGCUUUCAUAAAAGCUUGUAGUUUAGGCUGAAGGCCUUGAUGUCUGUGUCUCUUCUCCUCCUCCGCCUCCCUUCUUUGUAAAGCUUUGCAAGCUCAGCAAGUUUCCUCCUUAAAAUCAGGCUGUAAGAUUUUGUGUUCUGGAUAUUAACGAUUGUUGAAUCAGUAAUCAUUAAGCUGCAAUUCAUUGUUAUGUAGUUAGAUUGGCCUUUUAAUUAUUUCUUCAUAUGCUAUGCCCCAAGCUGUUACUGGUCCUUGCAAUAGAAGCUUCCACUGCCUUUCUGGCCACAGACGCAGAAAAUACUCACAACUUAGUCUCAACUGCUCUGAACUCAAGGGACCAUGAUGGGCAUUUUGAAGAAGUCACUUAAAAUAAUAAUGGAGCCUAUGCAAGCUUCUCUGCAGAGCUGGAGAGUGGAGAUGGUCUCAUACGAGCUAUUUCUUCAGUGUCACAGCUAACAUUGCAUGGUAGAACUACCAUUAAGAUAAUUAUAUCUUCAUGUCUUCCCCAUCCAGUUUUUGAGAUGAAACCAUGAGAACGCAUAUUGCAGCUGACUUGCUGCUGUUACCAAGCCAGCCGAAACUGAAAAUCACCGGUUUAAAAAUGACUGGCUCAGUCUGGCACCAUAAGCAUUGGUGGCUCAUUACCUACAUCAUGAUGGUGCACCAAUGAUUAUAUAUUUCAAACAUUCCAAAUUCAGAAUUCUGUAUACACUCAGAAUAUUUACACAGCAGUUAGUCAUGCAUUGACAACAGUAGCCUUUUGGCAACAUAUACUUUUUGGAACUUGCCAGAAUAUCAAUUUCUGCUAUGAUGAUUCAAAUGAAUUUAGGAUACAGUCACCAUGAAGAUGACACUGGACUAAAGAUUAAUGUUGCUUUUGAA